rnacentral:rRNA from 1 species
GAUGAACGCUGGCGGCGUGCUUAACACAUGCAAGUCGAACGAGAAGUGGAGACGGAAACCUUCGGGCGGAUGACUUUAUUUCGAGUGGCGGACGGGUGAGUAACGCGUGGGUAACCUGCCUCAUACAGGGGGAUAACAGUUGGAAACGACUGUUAAUACCGCAUAAGACCACAGCACCGCAUGGUGCGGGGGUAAAAACUCCGGUGGUAUGAGAUGGACCCGCGUUCGAUUAGCCAGUUGGCGGGGUAACGGCCCACCAAAGCGACGAUCGAUAGCCGAUCUGAGAGGAUGACCGGCCACAUUGGGACUGAGACACGGCCCAAACUCCUACGGGAGGCAGCAGUGGGGAAUAUUGCACAAUGGGGGAAACCCUGAUGCAGCGACGCCGCGUGAGUGAAGAAGUAUUUCGGUAUGUAAAGCUCUAUCAGCAGGGAAGAAAAUGACGGUACCUGAGGAAGAAGCCCCGGCUAACUACGUG